rnacentral:rRNA from 1 species
UACAGAGGGUGCGAGCGUUAAUCGGAAUUACUGGGCGUAAAGCGCGCGUAGGCGGCUUUGCAAGUCGGGUGUGAAAUCCCCAGGCUUAACCUGGGAACUGCAUUCGAGACUGCAUUGCUAGAGUAUGGGAGAGGGAAGUGGAAUUUCCGGUGUAGCGGUGAAAUGCGUAGAUAUCGAGAGGAACACCUGCGGCGAAGGCGGGUUGCUGGGCUGACACUGACGCUGAUGCGCGAAAGCCAGGGGAGCGAACGGG